CAAUGCUCCAGGCAGAAUCCUGGAUGGAGAAAAGAGAGCCUCACCAAACAGGGAACUUGCUGAAGUUCUGCCGUUUUCACGUAGAGAACUCAUGCUUUUGGUGACAGUCCCAGCUCAAAAUAUAGGAAUGCAACAUUGUUCGGCACUCUGAAGAAGUGGUUCAGCUGAAGUGCUGUCAGCACAGGUGUAUUUAUUCAGGUGAUAAAGGAAGACGGCAAUGGCCUUUUGGUGAAGCGAGUGACCAAUCAGAAGAGCAGCACAGAACAGAGCACAUGUCAAAGAGGACAUCUGGACACAAGAUUGGGUUUUAAAAAAAACCAUGUACCUUAAUGUUUUAAAAUUUGCUUUGCAUAAGCUCUUAAAUAUCCAUAGACACUUUAUCUUUCAAUCAUAAAUCUAUGCCAAGUAGAGUUCAUAAAACUGGAAUGGGAAGUCCCUCCUUACGCCACAGUGCAUUCAUAGAAACCUGUACGUGGAGCAGAUUGUUCUAAAAUUUUUAUAUUUCCUCACAGGAACAAUGUUGUAAUUUGAUAUUAUAUGGUAGGCCAAGCAUCAAAUAAAUCAUAGACACAAUUGAAAAUAUGUCAUAAAGAUUUACAACUAUAAAUUUGUGCAAUAACUCCAAAUGGUAAAAUUAUGCUCUGUGUUUUAAGCAGUGGACAUAAACGUACUAUUCACUCUGAUCAUUCACAGACCCAAGUGAACCAUAAAGGAGAAGUAAAAUAUGUAAAACCACAAUUUGAUUGUAUCAUAAAUUUUACCUACCUGGAAGAUUUAUGUAAUUUAAUUUUCUUCUCUUCAUGCUUUCCUUUCUUAACAGCACCUCAUUCUAUCACUAUACCCCUUACAAAACAAAAUUAUCCCAUUCUAUGUGAAUUUUAGUGGUCGGAUUCAUCCUCUCUACAGAAUUUCUAAACGAUGAACCUCAGAUAUGUCUUAAAUCAAACUAUGACCAAUAUGGAACACUUAUUUGGGAACUGUAUGUCUAAACAAAAAAGGUAUGUGUAUAAUACUGUUGGCAUACAUUUGUCUGACUUUAUUAUUCUUUUCUUUUUAUUUUUUCCCACUUUUGCAAGUUAGUCACAGAGAGGAAUGAUCGAAAUUGCUUUUUGAGUGAUUAAAAUGUAUGGAAUUACCAGUGUGUCUCUUUUUCUCUAAUGUGUACAAAGAGAUCCUUGCCAGAUGCUACCAGAAAGGGGCAAACUGAACAAGAAACAAAUAGGAACAUUAUGCGAAGAGUAAGUGGGCUUACAAUGUUAGUUGAGAGGUCUUUCAAGUGAAUAUUUUGCAAGAGCUAUCAAAAUCAAAAAGAAGACUUCUUUCAAAGCUGGAAAGAGCAUUUGAAAAAUCUCAGCAUAGUACUAAUAGUAAAAAGAUAUAGAAAAAGGAAUUUAUAAUCUCUGGUAUUAGCAAAUUUGAGAAUGAUAAAGCUCACACCUGAGAAAGCUUUUUGUCUCCACCUCAGCUGCCACUGAUGGGUUUCAGCCUCAUGACACUUUCCGGAACAGAACUGAAUUGCUGUGAGAAGUUCAUUCUCACAAGAAAAAAAAUUAUUGUGAAAAGAGCUGCAAAGACAACAAAGUAAGACACAAUUGGGAAGUAAAUUGCUUCUGUGAUACCAUACAAAAGUAUCAGAUUGUUUAGACCCUUUAUGUUUAAAGGUUUCUGUGGACCUGGACUUACAUAUAAAUCAUCUCAUUUUAAAGUUAGACAGUUUAAGACUUUUGAUAAAGUCUUGUUUGUCCAAACAGGUGAUGUUGUAUGGCUGAGAAGAGAGAAACUUAAAUCUCAGAACAAGGUGGAAAUUUAUAGGGGGGAAAAUAUAAAGUCUGACUACUAAUAAAAUUAUACCUUCCUCAUGAAAACUUCAAAAGUGCCUGGACUUGUGAGCAUGCAAUUCAUCAUUUUUUCUAUAGAUAAGCAAUUCAAUUUGUGCACCACAAUGAUUUUUGUGCUUCUAACUUUCUUUAAAAGAUCCCUGGCUAUUUUAGUUACUGUUGGAUGGGGUUGUCUUUGGAGAGUUUUAGAUACUAAAAUUUUCAAAAGACAUUUUGAGAAUAGCUAUUGCAUUUGUGAAAAAUAAUUAAAAAUAG